UUCCUGGAGGACUAGUGGUUAGGCCUUGGCGCUCUCACCGCCGCGGUCCGGGUUCAAUUCCCAGCCAGGGAA